AGCUGCCGUAACAUUUCUGGAGGCCCCAGUGAGAUUUCAACUGUUCUGGGCCCCUUGAGCCACCGAAACGGAGGCAAGGCUGCCCGGGAGCUGAGGAGCCUCAACCGAACGAGGUGGUGCGCCACCCAACGGUAUUCCCGGUCCUCCUUUGUGAGCGGCAUUCCUGACUCCCCAGUGACUGAACCCCCGACCGACCUGACUCAGUGGAGAGACAGACCAGCUCACCAGGAAGGCAUCUGGACAAGGCCAACCACUACACUUGGGGCAUGGAAUGAACUGAUUGGCUGAGAUCCCAGACACUGCCCACGCCUGGAGCCCCUGAGACAAGGAUGAGCAGAUGCUGCCAAGUCAAACCUCAGAAGUCCUCUGUGGUCACACCAGGAUGCAGGACGUGGGAGGACGUGGGCAGAUCCUGUGGGCAGGAUCCCAUGGCCCAGGGCAGCCUCCACAGCUAAGCGUGAGUCACUUGCUGCAGAACCAGACCUCCAGGCUGCAAAGGCUCACUGGCCCAGGAUGAUGGAGGAAGAUGCUGCUGGAUGUGGGCUUUCAUGUUGGCUGGGUCUGGGGAAGAAUAAAGGAGGAUGGCUAAUUGGCCACGUGACUCCUGAGUCUCUGCCUCUGUGGUUGCCAGUGGUCUGGCAUGGUCCAUGGUCAGCUUCCCCAUCAGUGCUCUGGAUGGGAGCGACGCUUGUCUGAGUCUCAGUUUAUGCCUCAUCUACACAGAAGGAGUUACAUCAGUAUUAUCAAGCCAUGCCCACUGGGUCAAAACAGAGACCUUGUGGUGAAGUCCAGCCCUCUCACCCAUUUCCCAGAUGAAGAAACCAAGUCCCAGAGGAGAAAGUGUCUUGAUUAUAUGAACUUGAGAAGUUGAUUCUAAAAUUUACAUGGAAAUACAAAGGAUCUGAAACAGCCCAACAUUUUGAGAACAAAGAGUAUGUCAUACUGAAACGAAAAAUUUAUUCAUGAAAAAUUCUACCUAGACACUGGCAGAGAUCCAAGAGGCGGAUGGUACGCUAUGCUGGUGAGUGUAAACGGGCAUUCUACUACAUCGAAGGUGUGUACGACUCCUUUGGAGGACAAUCUGACAUAUCUAGUUACAUAUGCACAUAUCUUUUAAAAAUUUUAUAGGCUUUAUUUUUUAGAACAAUUUUAGGUUCACAGCAAAACUGAGCAGAAAGCACAGAAAGUUCCUACAUACCCUGCCAGCCACUCCCCCACCAUCCACAUUCCUCAUUAGUAUGGAUCAGCACUGACCCAGCAGGAUCAACCCAAGACCAUAGUUUACAUGAGGGUUCACCCUUUGUGUUGUUCCUUCUAUGGAUUUUGACAAGUGUGUGAGGACACAUAUCUACCAUUAUAUAGUAUCACAUGGAAUAGUUUCCCUGCUCUAAAAGCUUCCCAGUCUCCAUAUAUUUAUCCCUCCCUCCCCUGGAAACCUUGGCGACCAGCGAUCUUUUUUUCUUUUUUUUUUUUUUUUUUGAGUUGUGGCAAAAUACACAUAACAUAAAAUUUACCAUCUUAAUCAUUUUAUUUAUUUAUUUAUUUAUGUCUUUUGGGGGGGCACACCCACAGCAUAUGGAAGUUCCCAGGCUACGGGUUGAAUUGGAGCUGUAGCCGCUGGCCUAUGCCUCGGCACCAUUGGACUCUAGCCUCAUCUGUGACCUACACCACAGCUCAUGGCAACGCCAGAUCCUUAUCCCACUGAGCAAGGCCAGGGAUCAAAUCCAUGUCCUCGUGGAUACUAGUCCCAUUCAUUAAUGUUGAGCGAUGACAGGAACUCCUUAACCAUUUUAAAAUGUACAGUUCAGUGGCCUCAAGCACAUUCAUAUUGCUGUGCAACCAUCACCACUAUCCAUCUCCAGAACUCGUUUCAUCUUCCCAAACUGAAAUUCUAUUCAUUAAACAAUAAUUCUCCACUCCUCCCCCUCAGUCUCUGGCAACCAUCUCAUACUCCUGUCUCUAUGAAUUUGACUCUUCUAGGGACCUCAUAUAAGUGGAAUCAUACAGUAUUUCCUCUCCAUGUCUGGCUUAUUUCACUUAGCACAAUAUCCUCAAGGUUCACCCAUGUUGUAUCCUGUGUCAUGAUUUCCUUCCUUUUUAAGACUGAAUAAUAUUCCAUUACAUGCAUAUACUACAUUUUGUGUCUGUCAGUGAACACUUCUGUUGCUUCUACCUUUGGGGUAUUGGGAAGAAUGCUGCUAUGAACAUCGGUGUGCAAAUAUCUCUUUGAGUCCCUGAUUUCAAUUUUAUCGGAACAGGUGGGAUUGCUCUGUCAUAUGAUAAUUCUAUUUUUAAUUGUUUGAGUAACUACUAUACUGUUUCCCAUAGUUGCUGCACCAUUUUACCUUCCCACCAACAGUGCACAAGAGUUUCAGUUUUUCCACAUCCUUACCAACAAUGGUUAUUUUCUGUUUUUUUGUUUUUGUUUUUGUUUCUGUUUUUUGUUUUUUUUUUUAGGGCCUCACCCACAGCAUAUGGAGUUUCCCAGGCUAGGGGUCAAAUUGGAGCUACAGAUGCUGGUCUACACCAUAGCUCACAGCAAUGCCAGAUCCUUAACCCACUGAGCAAGGCCAGGGAUAGAACCCACAACCUCAUGGUUCCUAGUGGGAUUUGUUUCCACUGCACCAUGAUGGGAACUCCUUCUUCUUCUUUUUUUUUUUUCCCCUGUUCUUUUUUAUAGUCUUCUCGAUGGGUUUAAGGUGAUAUCUCAUUGUGGUUCUGAUUUGCAUUUCCUUAAUGAUAAAUGAUGUUGAACACCUUUAUAGGCAUUUAGGGAUAGUUCUGUAUCAUCUCUGGAGAAAUGCCUAUUCAAGUCCAAAGGAAAACUCUAGGGCUUUUCUACUCACAAUGUUUUGUUUUGUUUUAAUUUAAUUUUUUUUCUGCUGUACAGCAUGCGGACCAAGUUACACUUACAUGUAUACAUUUUUUUUCCCCACCCUUUGUUCUGUUGCAGUAUAAGUAUCUAGACAUAGUUCUCAAUGCUACUCAGCAGGAUCUCCUUGUAAAUCCAUUCCAAGUUGUAUCCCAUAACCCCAAGCUGCAGAUCCCUCUCAGUGCCUCCCUCUCCCCCUGGGCGGCCACAAGUCUAUUCUCCAAGUCCGUGAUUUUCUUUUCUGUGGAAAUGUUCAUUUGUGCUGUAUAUUAGAUUCCAGUUAUAAGUGAUAUCAUAUGGUAUUUGUCUUUGUCUUUCUGACUUAUUUCACUCAGUAUGAGAGUCUCUAGUUCCAUCCAUGUUGCUGUAAAUGGCAUUAUGUCGUUCUUUUUAUGGCUGAGUAGUAUUCCAUUGUGUAUAUAUACCACAUCUUCCUAAUCCAAUCAUCUGUCGAUGGACAUUUGGGUUGUUUCCAUGUCUUGGCUAUUGUGAAUAGUGCUGCAAUGAACAUGCGGGUGGGUGCAUGUGUCUUUUUCAAGGAAACUUUUGUCCGGAUAUAUGCCCAGGAGUGGGAUUGCAGGGUCCUAUGGAAAUUCUAUGUAUAGAUUUCUAAGGUAUCUCCAAACUGUUCUCCAUAGUAGCUGUACCAGUUUACAUUCCCACCAGCAGUGUGGGAAGGUUCCCUUUUCUCCACACCCCCUCCAGCUCUUGUUAUUUGUGGACUUAUUAAUGAUGGCCAUUCUGACUGGUGUACUCACAAUAUUUUUGAAAACAAAUGUGUGGGAGCUUUUCCCAAAAUCAACAAAUUUCCCAGCUCUCUGGAGAUUGACUGGAUAUAGUGUUAAAAAUCAAUUGACUAUGAAUGUGAUAUUUUAUUUCUGGACUCCAUUCCAUCCUGUUGCUCUCUAUGCCUGUCUUUAGGCCACAGAAUUUUGGUUAUUGGAGCUUUGCAGUAAUUUUCGAAAUCAGGAAGUUUGAGAGCUCCAAUUUUGUUCAUUGACGUCCUUUAUUGUCUUCAUGGUUUGACCUUCUCCAAAAUGUCAUAGAGUUGAAAUCAUACAGUUUGCAGCCUUAUCAGAUGGGCUUCUCUCACUUAGCAAUAUACAUUUACAGGUCCUCCAUAUUUUUCACAGCUUGCUAGCUCAUCUCUUUAGUGCUGAUUAAUAUCCCAUUGUCUGGCUGUAUCACAGUUUAUCCAUUCACCUAUUGAAGGACAUCUUGGUUGCUUCCAAAUUUGGGCGACUAUGAAUCAGGUUGCCAUACCACAGACAUUCAAAGUGGUCAUAGAUACAGCUGGACUAAUAGCUAUUGUAACUGUUACUGUUUUCUCUUCACUACCCUUGUCCUCUAUUCCUGUUUUGGUUUCCACUAUUCCUCUGUCUUCUGUGGCUUUAUUUGAGGAGUUUGUGUGAUUCUAUUUUCUCUCCUCUCUUAGCAUAUCCACUAUACUUCUUGCUUUUUUAAACUUUUUUUUUAGUGGUCGUCCUAGAGUUUGCAAUACCCAUUUAUAGCUAAUCCAAGUCCACUUUCAAAUAUCACAAUACCACUUAACGGGUAGUACACAUACCUAAUUCCUCCCUCCCACCCCUUCUCACAUUUUUGUCCUUCAUUUCACGUAGCCACAAGCCAUAAUCAUCAAACACAUUAUUGCUAUUAUUAUUUUGGGAAAAAAAACUGUUAUCUGUUAGAUCAAUUACGCAUUUUAAAAAUGUUUUUUAUUAUACCUUCUCUAACAACACACUUUUUUUUUUUUUUUUUUCCCUUUAUUGACAGCCCCACAGCCUAUGGAGUUCCCUGGGCCAGGGAUCGACUUCCAGCCACAGCUGCAGUCAUGCCAGAUCCUUUAACUGUGCAGGGCUGGGGAUUGAACCUGCUUCCUGGCACUGCAGAGGUGCCCCUGAUCCUUUUGUGCCACAGUGGGAAUGUCACACUUUUUUUUUUUUUUGGUAAUGUAGAUCCAAGUUUCUGACCUAUAUCAUCUUCCUUCUCUCUGAAGAAUUUCUUUUAACAUUUCUUACAAGACAGGUUUAAUAGUGACAAAUUCCCUCAAUUUUUGUUUGUCUGAGAAAUCUUUAUUUCUCCUUCACUUCUGAAGGGUAAUUUCACCGAGUAUAUAAUUCUAAGCUGGUGGGGGGGAGGUGUUUCUUGCAACACUUUAAAUAUUUCACUCCACUCUCUUCUUGCUUGGAAGCUUUCUGUGAGUUAGAUGUAAUUGUUAUCUUUGCUCCUCUAUCCGUAAGUGGGUAAGAUGCUUUUUACCGCUGGCUUCUAAGAUUCUUUUCUUUAUCUUUGAUUUUUGAAAGUUUGAAUUUAAUAUGCCUUGGUGUCCUUGGGGAGGUAUUUCAUUUGCCUGUUUGUUUUUGGCAUUUAUCCUGCUUGGUGUUCUCUGGAUCUGCAGCUUGGUGUCUGACAUUAAUUUGAGGAAAUUCUCAGUCAUUAUUUUUUUUUUCAGUCAUUAUUUUUUUUAACAUGUCUUCUGCUCGUUUCUGUCUUUCUUUUCCUUCUGGUAUUCCAAUUACAUGUAUAUUACAUCUUUUACCCCCAGAUUUUUGGCUAUUCUGUCAGGAGGGGAGGGGUUCUAUCUUUUUUUUCUUUUGCACUGCAGUUUGGGAAGUUUUUGUUGACAUUAUCUUCACCAAUAUGGUGUUCACUGAUUCUUUCCUCAGCUGUGCAGUCUGCUGAUGAGCCCAUGACCAAAAGCAUCCUUCAUUUUUGUUACAGGAUUUUCCAUUUCUAGCAUUUCUUUUUGAUUCUUUCUUGGAAGUUCCAUCUCUCUGCUUACAUUACUGAUUUGGUUGUUGAAUGUUGUCUACUUUUUCUGCUAGAGCUCUUAGCAUAUUAAUCAUGGCUAUUUAAUAUGCCCAGUGUGAUCAUUCCAACAUCUUUGCCAUACCUGAGUCAGGUCUGAUGCUUGUUCUGGCUCUUCAGCCUAUUCUUUGCCUUUUAGUAUGCCUCACGAUGUUUUCUUGGAAGCUGGACAUGAUGUACUGAAUAAAGGAACUGUGUAACUAGGCUUUUAGUGUCAUGGUGGUGAGGUGUGUGGUGAGGGGAAGCACUCUCUAAGUUCUCUGAUGAGUUCUGUCUUUUAGUGAGCCUGUGCCCCUGGCUCACGACCUUCAAGAGUUUUUCUUGGUUUUCUGGCCCCCCUCCUCCCACCUCAGAUGGGACAGGAAGGCUGGAUGGUGUUGCAAUUGAGUAUUUCCCUCCCCCAACACUGAAGGAUAAAUGGAGCUGGAGUUGGAUAGUUCCCUUCCACCAGGUCAGUCAAGUCCUGGUAAAACAGCUUCUCUUGGGAGUUCCCUUUGUGGCUCAGCAGAAACAAAUCUGCCUAGAAUCCACGAGGGCAUGGGUUUGAUCCCUGGCCUUGCCUAGUGGGUCAAGUAUACAGCAUUGCCGGGAGUUGUGGUGUAGGUCACAGACACAGCUGAAAUUCCACAUUGCUGUGGCUGUGGCAUAGGCCGGCAGCUGCAGCUCUGAUUUGACCCCUAGCCUGGGAACCUCCAUAUGUCAUGGGUGUGGCCCUAAAAAAAAGACAAAACAAACAAACAACAACAACAACAACAACAAAAAAACAGUUUCUCUUGAGGACAGACAGGUCUUGGUAAGAGAAACAGAAUGUUCUCGUCUAUUUCAAAAUAGCUACUUGCCCGCUCUUCCUUCUGGAAGCAAGAGGGGAGUUUUUCUCAGUCUUCACUCUGAGACCCUGGGAGAUCUCUUGAAGGCAGUACUGUCAUCCCUCAGUAUCCCCAGGGGAUUGGUUCCAGGACCUGCCACAGACACCAAAAUCCAUGGGUGCUCAAGACCCAUAGUCAGCCUUCCAUAUCCGCAGGCUCUGCAUCCCCAGACUCAUCCCACUGCGGAUGGUAAACAAGACAGGUGGUAUUGAAAAAAGUCUGCAUAUAAGUGGACCUGCACAAUUCAACGCUAUGUUGUUCAAGGGUCAACUGCUCUCCAUACUAUAGGGAGCUCACUAAGACUGAGCCCUCCCUAGGGUUCUUAACUCUGAAAUGUGUCCGCACUGAGCAAGUCAUCAAUUAUAGCCUAGGUUUCCCUACCUGAGACUGGUUCUCCCAGCACUUUCUACUCUAAGUCGUGAUCCUCUAUAUCUGCCUGUCUCUCCAUCUAGAGGGACAGCAGUUUGCCCAGUGAUCUUACUUCUCAGCUGGGUUUAAGAAGAGUUGUUGGUUAUUAGUUUAUUCAGCUUUAUUCUUGUGUGGAUGGGAGGGAUGACUUCCAAGCUCCUUACUGGACUAAAGUCCUAUAUCUUUACAAUAUUUUAUCAUGGACAUUUACAAGCAUGCUUAAAAGCAGAAAAGAUUGUAUAAUGAACUGCCAUGGACUCAGCACCUUCAACGUUUAUACUCUGCUGUUCCUGUUUCAUCCACUCCCUGGUUCAGACACAUGGUUUUUUUAAUCUCUAACAAAUGUAGUUUGUUUCCUCUGCUCAGGCAUAUAUCACCUCUGAGAAUUUGUCUUAGAGAUACAGAUGCAUAUGAGCAAAAUGACUGGUCCAAGAUUAUUUAUUACAGAAUUGUUUGGAACAGAAAGAGAUGGAAACAAGGUGAAUGUCCAUCAACAAGGGACUGGUUUGGAGUUCCCACUGUAGCACAGCGGGUUAAGGAUCUGGUGUUGUUGCAGCUGUGGCAUAGGUUGCAGCUGAAGCUCAGAUUGAAUUCCCUGGCCCAGGAACUUCCCUAUGCCACAGGUGUGGCCAAAAAAGGAAAAAAAAAAAAA
rnacentral:lncRNA from 9 species